rnacentral:rRNA from 1 species
GAUGAACGCUGGCGGCGUGCCUAAUACAUGCAAGUCGAGCGAACAGACGAGGAGCUUGCUCCUCUGACGUUAGCGGCGGACGGGUGAGUAACACGUGGAUAACCUACCUAUAAGACUGGGAUAACUUCGGGAAACCGGAGCUAAUACCGGAUAAUAUAUUGAACCGCAUGGUUCAAUAGUGAAAGACGGUUUUGCUGUCACUUAUAGAUGGAUCCGCGCCGCAUUAGCUAGUUGGUAAGGUAACGGCUUACCAAGGCAACGAUGCGUAGCCGACCUGAGAGGGGGAUCGGCCACACUGGAACUGAGACACGGGCCAGACUCCUACGGGAGGCAGCAGUAGGGAAUCUUCCGCAAAGGGCGAAAGCCUGACGGAGCAAAGCCGCGUGAGUGAUGAAGGUCUUCGGAUCGUAAAACUCUGUUAUUAGGGAAGAACAAAUGUGUAAGUAACUAUGCACGUCUUGACGGUACCUAAGCAGAAAGCCACGGCUAACUACGUG